GUGGGGGAUAUUGCACAAUGGGGGAAACCCUGAUGCAGCGACGCCGCGUGAGUGAAGAAGUAUUUCGGUAUGUAAAGCUCUAUCAGCAGGGAAGAAAAUGACGGUACCUGACUAAGAAGCUCCGGCUAAAUACGUGCCAGCAGCCGCGGUAAUACGUAUGGAGCAAGCGUUAUCCGGAUUUACUGGGUGUAAAGGGAGCGUAGACGGUUUGCCAAGUCUGAUGUGAAAGGUGUGGGCUCAACCCGCAAACUGCAUUGGAAACUGGUAGACUAGAGUGUCGGAGAGGUAAGUGGAAUUCCUAGUGUAGCGGUGAAAUGCGUAGAUAUUAGGAGGAACACCAGCGGCGAAGGCGGCUUACUGGACGAUAACUGACGUUGAGGCUCGAAAGCGUGGGGAGCAAACAGGAUUAGAAACCCUAGUAGUCC
rnacentral:rRNA from 1 species